rnacentral:lncRNA from 1 species
UUCUCCAACCAUGUCUUUUCUAAGUUAUUUUAUUAUUCAUUUGCUCAAAACAGAAGGUUCAGAUUUAGGUACUAAAGUAUGUUUUUAAUUUAUGAAAUUCUAUUUAUUAAAAAUAUUUGUGUAAUAAAAUUCAGCCCACUCACUGGAACAAUAUCUAGUAUAAUAAGAUAACUGAGAUUUUUCAUUGAUGAUUCUCACUGAUGGCAUUUGACCAUGCAUUUUCCCCUGGGUGUCCUCAAAUGGCAAACACAGCUUCCACACAAGAAUUAUCAAGGAUUCUUGGUCAGGGCGGCUCCUUCAGGGGUAUAUAGGACUUUUGCUCAGUAAAAUAAUGUGGUUGGUGAAAUGUGCAUUUAGAGCUUCCCUGCCAUCAUCAGCAAAAAUCCUGGGACUGGUCGUCAGUUUCACAGGUUGAGAAACCUCAUUUCCUCAGCACACAUUCAUCAAUCCAGGGCCAGUUCCUUACUUCAUCAUGGGAACAAGAAUGUCAAAACAUUCUCAAGAGUCUUUCGAGAAACCUCAUUUCCUCAGCAUGCAUUCAUCAAUCCAGGACCAGUUCCUUACUUCACCAUGAGAACAAUAAUGGUGAAACAGUCUCAAGAGGCUUCUGUUGGCACAGCUGGUAUGUUCCAUCCCUGUAGGCAGCAACUGUAUGGAAAGCAAAAUGAUAAGUAGGUUCCUUGGCAAGGAGUCAGGAAUUUGUUGUGAAAAUGUACUUGGCUCAGAAUAGCUGGAGGCACCACUGAGGGUAGGCAUGGCUUUGCUGCUGGGACAAACCUACUCAAUGUUCAUGGACCGAAUCACCUUUUCUCCCCAUCACAAUUUUGUUUGCAGACAUUUCUUUUUCUUUUCUUCCAGGGCUGACCAACGAACUCCUCUUUUAGAGUGCUGUCUUGCCUAGUCCUUAGAGCUAUUCAGUGUCUCAAAAAGUGUUGUUUUUUCCCCUGUGUUUUUGCUAUGGUUUGUUGCUUGAUGCUUGGCUGGCUACCUCUCAGAGGACAUCCUUGGGUCCUCAUUUUGAGAGUCUCUCACAGUCACCUUCAUGCUCAGCUGCUGGCAGGCAUCUGAAAUGGCAGAGUAGCCCCUUUAGAGUGGUAAAUAGGGGUAAUGCUGACAAAAUUUCCCCUUCAUGGCUCUCAGCACGUAUGUAAAAGGAAAUGCUGUCUCC